rnacentral:rRNA from 1 species
UGGGGAAUAUUGCACAAUGGGCGAAAGCCUGAUGCAGCAACGCCGCGUGAGUGAUGAAGGCCUUCGGGUUGUAAAGCUCUGUCUUUUGGACAGAUAAUAGCGGUACCAAAAGGAGGAAGCCACGGCUAACUACGUGCCAGCAGCCGCGGUAAUACGUAGGUGGCAAGCGUUGUCCGGAUUUACUGGGCGUAAAGGAUGCGUAGGCGGAUUUUAAGUGAGAUGUGAAAUACCCGGGCUUAACUUGGGUGCUGCAUUUCAAACUGGGAAUCUAGAGUGCGGGAGAGGAGAAUGGAAUUCCUAGUGUAGCGGUGAAAUGCGUAGAGAUUAGGAAGAACACCAGUGGCGAAGGCGAUUCUCUGGACCGUAACUGACGCUGAGGCAUGAAAAGCGUGGGUAGCAAAACAGGAUUAGAUACCCUGGUAGUCCACGCCGUAAAACGAUGAGUACUAGGUGUAGGAGGUAUCGACCCCUUCUGUGCCGCAGUUAAACACAAUAAGUACUCCGCCUGGGAAGUACGAUCGCAAGAUUAAAAACUUAAAAGGAAUUGACGGGGGUCAUAGCUGUUUCCU